rnacentral:rRNA from 1 species
UACGUAGGGGGCAAGCGUUGUCCGGAUUUAUUGGGCGUAAAGAGCGUGUAGGCGCCAGACAGGUCCGUUGUGAAAACUCGAGGCUCAACCUCGAGACGCCGAUGGAAACCGUCUGGCUAGAGUCCGGAAGAGGAGAGUGGAAUUCCUGGUGUAGCGGUGAAAUGCGCAGAUAUCGGGAGGAACACCUAUGGCGAAGGCAGCUCGCUGGGACGUUACUGACGCUGAGACGCGAAAGCGUGGGGAGCAAACAGG